rnacentral:rRNA from 1 species
GAAUGGUUGGAUGAGAAAUUUACUUUCUUUUAUUUAUACAUAAAAUUUGAUUUUUUAGUCAAAAAGCUUAAAUAUAAUUAUAGGACGAGAAGACCCUAUAGAACUUUACUUUUUAUAAUUUUAUAAUUUUUUUAAAAAUAAUUUUUUAUUAUUUUAUAAAAUGUUUUAUUGGGGCGAUAAAAAAAAAUUCUUAACUUUUUUUAUUUUAAUCAUUAAUUUAUGAUUUUUUGAUCCUUUAUUAAGGAAUAAAGAUUAAGUUACCUUAGGGAUAACAGCGUUAUUAUUUUGGAGAGUUCUUAUUGAUAAAAUAGUUUGCCACCUCG